rnacentral:rRNA from 1 species
UGAACGCUAGCUACAGGCUUAACACAUGCAAGUCGAGGGGCAGCAUUUUAGUUUGCUUGCAAACUGAAGAUGGCGACCGGCGCACGGGUGAGUAACACGUAUCCAACCUGCCGAUAACUCCGGAAUAGCCUUUCGAAAGAAAGAUUAAUACCGGAUAGCAUACGAAUAUCGCAUGAUAUUUUUAUUAAAGAAUUUCGGUUAUCGAUGGGGAUGCGUUCCAUUAGUUUGUUGGCGGGGUAACGGCCCACCAAGACUACGAUGGAUAGGGGUUCUGAGAGGAAGGUCCCCCACAUUGGAACUGAGACACGGUCCAAACUCCUACGGGAGGCAGCAGUGAGGAAUAUUGGUCAAUGGGCGAGAGCCUGAACCAGCCAAGUAGCGUGAAGGAUGAAGGCUCUAUGGGUCGUAAACUUCUUUUAUAUGGGAAUAAAGUUUUCCACGUGUGGAAUUUUGUAUGUACCAUAUGAAUAAGGAUCGGCUAACUCCGUGCCAGCAGCCGCGGUAAUACGGAGGAUCCGAGCGUUAUCCGGAUUUAUUGGGUUUAAAGGGAGCGUAGGUGGAUUGUUAAGUCAGUUGUGAAAGUUUGCGGCUCAACCGUAAAAUUGCAGUUGAAACUGGCAGUCUUGAGUACAGUAGAGGUGGGCGGAAUUCGUGGUGUAGCGGUGAAAUGCUUAGAUAUCACGAAGAACUCCGAUUGCGAAGGCAGCUCACUAGACUGUCACUGACACUGAUGCUCGAAAGUGUGGGUAUCAAACAGGAUUAGAUACCCUGGUAGUCCACACAGUAAACGAUGAAUACUCGCUGUUUGCGAUAUACAGUAAGCGGCCAAGCGAAAGCAUUAAGUAUUCCACCUGGGGAGUACGCCGGCAACGGUGAAACUCAAAGGAAUUGACGGGGGCCCGCACAAGCGGAGGAACAUGUGGUUUAAUUCGAUGAUACGCGAGGAACCUUACCCGGGCUUAAAUUGCAACAGAAUAUAUUGGAAACAGUAUAGCCGUAAGGCUGUUGUGAAGGUGCUGCAUGGUUGUCGUCAGCUCGUGCCGUGAGGUGUCGGCUUAAGUGCCAUAACGAGCGCGACCCUUAUCUUUAGUUACUAACAGGUCAUGCUGAGGACUCUAGAGAGACUGCCGUCGUAAGAUGUGAGGAAGGUGGGGAUGACGUCAAAUCAGCACGGCCCUUACGUCCGGGGCUACACACGUGUUACAAUGGGGGGUACAGAAGGCGGCUACCUGGUGACAGGAUGCUAAUCCCAAAAACCUCUCUCAGUUCGGAUCGAAGUCUGCAACCCGACUUCGUGAAGCUGGAUUCGCUAGUAAUCGCGCAUCAGCCAUGGCGCGGUGAAUACGUUCCCGGGCCUUGUACACACCGCCCGUCAAGCCAUGAAAGCCGGGGGUACCUGAAGUACGUAACCGCAAGGAGCGUCCUAGGGUAAAACCGGUAAUUGGGGCUAA